rnacentral:rRNA from 1 species
UACGAAGGGGGCUAGCGUUGUUCGGAAUUACUGGGCGUAAAGGGCGCGUAGGCGGUACUUCAAGUCAGGCGUGAAAGCCCUGGGCUCAACCUGGGAAUGGCAUUGGAUACUGGCGACCUAGAGUGCGGUAGAGGGGUGUGGAAUUCCCGGUGUAGCAGUGAAAUGCGUAGAUAUCGGGAGGAACAUCUGUGGCGAAGGCGACACCCUGGACCAGCACUGACACUGAGGCACGAAAGCGUGGGGAGCAAACAGG